rnacentral:rRNA from 1 species
UACGAAGGGGGCUAGCGUUGCUCGGAAUCACUGGGCGUAAAGGGCGCGUAGGCGGCGUUUUAAGUCGGGGGUGAAAGCCUGUGGCUCAACCACAGAAUGGCCUUCGAUACUGGGACGCUUGAGUAUGGUAGAGGUUGGUGGAACUGCGAGUGUAGAGGUGAAAUUCGUAGAUAUUCGCAAGAACACCGGUGGCGAAGGCGGCCAACUGGACCAUUACUGAUGCUGAGGCGCGAAAGCGUGGGGAGCAAACAGG